GACGGACGCCAUUGAAGUUCAGCAUGGAAUAGUAAAAGGGUUGGCAAAAUGCUCAUCAAGGUCCAGUACUGUGGACUAAAAAAGUACCUCAAACUGCAGCCUGUUUUUUCUUAUGAAAGUUUCAUUGAAGAAGAAUUUGUGCCAGCAGGUUCUUCUACUCUAAAUUCUUCACUUUUCUGAAGUGAUAUGGAGAGGUCCUCUUCAAACAAGGGGCAUCAAUCUCCUGGUGCAGGAGAGAACACCUCUGCCAUAGGGGAUGCAGCAGAAAAGGCCAAAUGGAUGGUCCAGGAGGUUCUGGAGAAGAGUUCAGGGGGAGAGGAAACAAUGGAGGAGUAUAAGAGAUUGAGCACCGUGACACACUGCACAAGACGGCAUCAUAUCCUGGUCAGCCACAUUGUUGAAAUGCAUGGGUAUGUUUUGUUUUGUAAUGUGAAAAAACAAAGUAGAAGCAUUAUUGUGCACAUAUAGCCUCUCACACAACUUGCCUGCAGCGUGACAAGAAAAACCUAAAUUUGGUAGUAGAAUUGUUGUGUAAAAACAAUUUUGAACUGAUGUUUGUCCUUCUUUACACUUCUCUCAUCUUCUUAAAGGAACUCUGGAUCUCAUUCAUAGUCACCAUUGGGUCCUUGGUUACCUGUCUGACCAAGGCCCCUUUGUCCCAGGAUUACUCAGUUUGGCUUGCAUUUUUGCGGAGAGUUGGAGGAUUUUGUGUAGAUGUUGAUGAAGAUGAUAUGUUUGUUAUAUCUCUGUCAGUCAUCUGAAUAUUUUCAAAUGUUUUUUUUUAAAUGCCCA